rnacentral:rRNA from 1 species
UACGAACUGUGCAAACGUUAUUCGGAAUCACUGGGCUUAAAGGGUGCGUAGGCGGCUUAUCAAGUAGGGUGUGAAAGCCCCCGGCUUAACCGGGGAAUUGCGCCCUAAACUGACGAGCUGGAGUGGGACAGGGGUGUGUGGAACUUCCGGUGGAGCGGUGAAAUGUGUUGAUAUCGGAAGGAACGCCCGUGGCGAAAGCGAGGUCCUAGGACGCCUACUGAGGCUGAGACGC